GUAAAUUUUUUUUUUUGAAAUCUGAUUAUAAUUUUUAGAAUCAGCUUUUUAAUUUUAGAGACUCAAAAUCAGAAAUAGCUAAAAUCUGCUUUUUGAAAUCUAAUUUUGAUUCCAUACUCAAAUUUUAAAUUUAAAUUUUAAAUUUUAAAUUUUAAAUUUAAAUUUUAAAUUUUAAAUUUUUUAUUUUCAUUUCAAAUUUUAAAAUUUAAUUUUCACAUUCUAAGUUUCAAAUUUAGAUUUUUAAUUUAAAAUUUUAUUAUAAUUUUAAAUAUAUAUUUUAAAAUUAAAAUUUUAUAUUUUUAAAAUUUAAAUUCUAAAUUUUAAUAAAAAAUAACUCUGUAAAAAUU
rnacentral:lncRNA from 1 species